GAUGAAGAACGCAGCGAAAUGCGAUACGUAGUGUGAAUUGCAGGUUUAUGUGAAUCAUCGAAUCUUCGAACACAAAUUGUACUUCUCAGUAGUCUGGGGAGUAUGCCUGGUUGAGGGUCAUUUAAAUAACAAUCGCGAAUUUUCGCGGAUCUGGGUUCUUCCGGUGUUUUUUUUUUUUUAAAUACGCUGGUGACCUUAAAAUAAUUUUUUUUUUCGGUACAAGUCAAAACGUGCUAUGUGACGUGGUUCGUUGAAAACUUGACCUCAUAACAUAUAUUAUGUUUGCGUUGAUCUCAUUGGAGUGAUCGAUGUUAAAUAUAUAUAUUUUUUUUAUGACCUCAACUCAAGCAAGGAUACCCGCUGAACUUAAGCAUAUCAAUAAGCGGAGGA
rnacentral:misc_RNA from 1 species